AUUCUGUGUCCAGGACUUCGGGCCCUCUGUGAGCCUCUGUCCGCCAAGGCGAUGGAGCUGUGUUUGGAGUCCCUCGUCUUUGGCAGCGGCUGGGGCCAAAGCCCGGGCAAGACCAACGCCUUCGGCACCCGGACUCAGGCUCCGUCCUCUCUGCCAGCGUGCGGCUACAAUGACUCGACAUGGCAGGCCACUGCCUUCAGAGAAGGUGACAGAGGGCCAUGUCUGAAACAUUCUCCCACAACCAGGAACCCUCAGCAGCCGCUGAAGAGGAAAGGCAGUUAAAUGGAAAGACUUCUGAGCAAGUGGAGGAAAAGUCACGUGUGACCUAGGGAGGGGCUCCCACAGGAAGGGGCAAUGCCCUUGCCCUGUUCACCUAGCCUCCAGGUGGCUUCCCACUUGAAAUUUCAGAGGAUGGCAGAAACCUACUUACAAGGAAAUGAAAGAGGGCACAGCAACCUUAAGACCAGAGCAGCCCACGAUAUUUUUUAAUGAGGGCAAAAAUAGAAGACUUGC
rnacentral:lncRNA from 1 species